rnacentral:rRNA from 1 species
AAACCGGGAUUAAAACCUGAUGAAACUAUCAAAUCACAUGAUUAAGAAAGUUAAAACUCCGGUGGUAAAAGAUGGACUCGCGUCCCAUUAGCUAGUUGGUGAAGGUAACGGCCCACCAAGGCAACGAUGGGUAGCCGGCCUGAGAGGGUGAACGGCCACAUUGGAACUGAGAAACGGUCCAAACUCCUACGGGAGGCAGCAGGGACAGAU